rnacentral:lncRNA from 10 species
UCUAGAGAGGUAUAAGAUAUUCUGCAUUUUGAAAUACAGUAAUGUAUUAUUUCUUCUAUGGUAAUAAUACUUCUAGAAGUGAAUUUGAUUAUUGAAAAGCAGAAUCUUCAAGAAAUAACACUAGUAGAGAAAAAUAAUUCAACCCCAUUUUCUUGUUACUUUGACCUUUCUUUUUAUUUCUCAAUUUCAAUUAUAAUUACUACACUUCCUGUUCCCAAAACUUUUGUGUCUUGUCUGCUGAUGCUGUCAGUAACAUUAUACAACUAUGAAGAUUUGGCUUAAAAAUACAAAACAUAUGAACCAUAUUUAAUUAAAUUCUGUUGGUUGAAAGCACAUGAAAGAAUUUUCCAUGUAUGCAUAGCUCAUUAUUGCCUUUACCAAAACCUCUUAGCCUUUGGAGGAGACUGCUGAUGACAAUAAUCACAUCAGCCCCCGAGAGGAAACUAGGCCUCUGGGCUUCCAGGGAUCACCAAUUCUUUUCCAGUAUUAACAAAUAUUUUCCAACUCCCUCUUGUAUGUAAAUAGUAAACAUCUUUGGUAUGAAAGCAGACAUAAUUUCAAUAUUUAUAGUUUAUAUUAGUAAUGAUUCACACAAUAAUCAUGAUUGUGUGAGAUUUCUCUAGAAAUUCAUGAAGCCAAUUUUAGGGUAUAAAAUAGACUUAUAUGGUGUUGGGUGAUUAUAAGUGAGCUUUGACACUGAAGAAGCUGCAAACUUAUUUUACAUAACUAUUUUCAAAUACUGUCUUAAAACUUUUUUUUUAAUAUGAUUACAUAACUACUUUUCAAAUACUUUGUUAAAACUUCCUUUUCCUCUGUAUGAUUGAAGGUGUUUUGAGGGAUCUCUUUACUACAAAAUACCUUUUAAGCCAUAUUUACAGUACAGUCAGGUGUCUCAAUGACAGUGAUACCUUCUUAGAAAUGUCUUGUUGAGUGACUCAUUUUUGUGUGGACAUCAUACAUAAACCUAGAUGGUAUAUCCUACUACACACUCAGACUAUGUGGUGUGGCCUAUUACGUCUAGGCUGCAAACCUGUUCAGCAUAUUACUGUACUGAAUACUAUGGGGAAAUGUAUUACAGUGGUAAGUAUUUGCAUAUCUAAACAUAGAAGAGAUACAGUAAAAAUAUGGUAUAAAAGAUAAAAAAGGUACACUUGCAUAGGGUACCUCCCAUGAAUGAAGUUUAUAGUACUAGAAGUUGAUUUGGGUGAGCCAGUGAGUGGUAAGUGAAUGUGAAGGCCAAAACAUUAUUGUACACUGUUGUAGACUUUGUAAACACUGUGCACAUAGGCUACACUAAAUUUAAAAGUUUUUUCUCCAAUAAUAAAUUAAACUUAGGUUACUCUAACGUUUUUACCUCAUAAACUUUUAAUUUUUAAAAAUCUUUGGACACUUUUGUAAUCACACAUAGCUUAAAACUCAAACACAUUGUACAGCUGUGCAAAAACAUUUUCUUUCUUUAUAUCCUUAAUCUAUAAGCUGUUUUUUUUAAUUAAUUAACUUAAAUUUUACUUUUUGAAUUUUUAUUAAAAACUAAACUAAGACACAAACACACACAUUAGUUUAGGCCUACACAGGGUCAUAAUCAUGAAUAUCACUGUCUUCCACUUCCACAUCUUGUCCCACUGGAAGGUCUUCAGGGUCGAUAACAUGCAUGGGUCUGUCCUCUCGUAUGAUAACAAUGACUUCUUCUGGAAUAUCUUCUGAAGGACCUGCCUGAGGCUGUUUUACAGUUAAUUUCUUUUACUAAGUAAAAGGAGUACACUCUAAAAUAAUGAUAAAAUAUAGUAUAGUAAAUACACAAGCCAGUAACAGUCAUUUAUUAUCAUCAUCAAGUAUCAUGUACUGUACCCAUUUGUAUGUGUUAUACUUUAAAUGACUGGCAGUGUAGUAGGUUUGUUUAGACCAGCAUCAUCACAAAUAUGUGAGUAAUGUGUUGCAAUAUGUUGUUACCAUGGCUACUAAGUCACUAGGCAAUAGAAGUUUUUCUGCUACAUUGUAAUCUUUUUUUUUCUUUUUUCAGAUGGAGUCUCACUGUGUCGCCCAGGCUGGAGUGCAGUGGCAUGAUCUCGGCUCACUGCAACCGCCACCUCCUGAGUUCAAGCGAUUCUUCUGCCUCAGCCUCCCGAGCAGCUGGGACUACAGGCGCGCCACCACACCAGGCUAAUUUUUGUAGUUUUCGUAGAGAGGGGUGUCACCAUAUUGGCCAGGCUGGUCUCGAACUCCUGAUGUCGUGAUCUGCCCGCCUCGGCCUCCCAAAGUGCUGGGAUUACAGAUCGAGAAGAUUUACUUAAUGGACCAGAGCAACAUUGGAUUUGGAUUUUUUUUUUUUGAGUUUAUUGGAAACUUUUCAACCAAGCUGCUAAGGAGAGGGAAGCACACAAGCAAGGCCACUGCCAAACUCUGGAGAAAAGGAAGAAAUCAGUGUGUCUGUAGGUGGGUGUAUUAGUCCAUUUUCAUGCUGUUGAUAAAGACAUCCCUGAGACUGGGAAGAAAAAGAGUUUUAAUGGACUUACAAUUCCACAUGGCUGGGGAGGCCUCGCAAUCAUGACAGAAGGCAAGGAAGAGCAAGUCACAUCUUUUGUGGAUUGCUGCAGGCAAAGAGAGAGCUUGUGCAGGGAAACUCCUAUUUUUAAAACCAUCAGAUCUCAUGAGACUCAUUCACUAUCAUGGGAACAGUGCAGGAAAGACCGGCUCCCAUAAUUCAAUCACCUCCUACUUGGUUCCUCCCAUGACACAUGGGAACUGUGGAAGUUACAAUUCAAGAUGAGAUUUGGGUGGGGACACAGCCAAACCAUAUCAGUGGGUUAUGGUUUGGGGAAGAAAACCACAGAAAUUUUGUGCCACUCUCAACAUUAUAUAUUAAUCUACAUGACUUGUCACUGAUGAUUUUAAAAUUGGUCACCUGGAAAACAUAGUGUUUCCUGGGCUUCUCCACUGUGAAAUUAACUGUUCCUACCACUUGCCUCUCCCUACUGUGCUAUUUGGAAAUGAAUCACUAAGCCCACACUUAAGGGAUGGGGAGUUAAGUUUCACCUCCUCAGGUAGAGAGUAGUGCCUAAAUAAAUGAUUUAAAUUUUUUCUGUUGAGGAAAUCUGUCUUUUAUCUCCAACUUAUUUAUUUUUUCAAUAAUUUAUUUUUAUCAGUAUAGGCCCAUGGAUAUUUGUUUUAUAUUUAGAAAUAUAAUGAAGUAAUAUGUUAUUUUAUUUUAUUCUAUUUUUUGCUCCAAUUGUUCCAAAUUUGGCUAUUCAGAGCUCUUUCAAUUGGCUCCUGUGUCCUUUUGACAUAUUACCAUUGUUUUGUCUUCUGCACGUUUUCUUACUUUCUGAUACUACAAGAUGAUCUGCAUCCUGCACCAGCCCUAGAAUCAGUCAUUUCUUCAAAGAGAAAUUGGAGCAUGGUGUGGGAGACCAUGAUCUUGGCACAAGGUAUACAAUUAUUUUAAAAUAAUUACUUUUUGCUUGUAUGUGGCUGAUUAUUUUCUUUUGGACAUUUUUGGAGAGACUUUCAUUCAAAUUUAUAUCUGCCUCAAACUACAUACCCAUAAUCCAGGUGGAAAGGCUCUAAUCUUAGUCAUUUGGCAGCCAGGAAGAUGGAGGCCUCUUUGCAACAUCUGUUCCUGUGGUAACAGCAGCUAGGACUAAAUAGCACAUUGGCUUUUAAAGCCCUUUUAUAGGGAAGUGACACUUCUCCUCCUGGUGGCCACGUUUCACUUCAAAGUGAGUGAGGCUGUGCUAUCCUACCAGGUACCAAGGAAGAUGAAAAGAUAGAUGUAUUUAACCAAAAUCAUGAAUAUCUACUGCAUUAGUUCUUGUCACAAUUUUUCCCAGUGGAAAUAUAAUGAAAUUUAUAUUUAUGUUAUUUCAAAUUAUCUAGUAUCCACAUUAGGGAAGCACAAAGAAGUAGGUUAAAUUAGUAUUCAUUAUAUAUUUUAUUUAACCCAAUUAUACCCAAAAUAUUAUCAUUUUAACAUAUAAUCAGUGUAAAUUAUUAGUAUGAUUUUUUCAUUCUAUGUCUUUGAAAUUGGGUGUGUAUUUUACACUUCAAGUACAUCCUCGUGUGAACCAGUCAUAUUUCAAGUAUUUCAUAGAUACAUGUGACUAGAGGUUGCCAUUCUGAACAGCGCGUGUAAAGACAGUGUCUGCCACAUAGUAGGCAUUUGACAUUAUGUGUCAAAUGUUAAAUAACUGUAAACCAUAAAUGUUUUUAAAACAGUUGAACUCCUUUAUCGUACUAAUACUGCUUGGAUCAUGUUUUGUUUCUUCUCUAAUUCUUUCCUCCUGUGUAUUUCUCCCACUUCUUUAGAUCUAACCUAAAUUUCAGAGAUAUUUGUGAAAAUUAGAUUUCAAAACUUCCUCAGAAAACCAUUACAAGUGUCUUAUUUUGUCAUAUAUUUAUCUGUUUGCUGAAGGUGUCUAGUUUUAUAUCUACAUCUAAAAUUUCUUGCUAUAUUCACUGUACAACAUUUUUGCAUAUUUAGGGACCACAGGGCUUUUCAGCAUUACGCCAAAUUUAAGCUGAGUUUAUGAAGCUUAAACAUAUGUCCUCCACCCAAAUUGAUGCUAAAAUGUUAGGAUUAAAUUCAAAGGUAAUAUCCAGGAGAGUAUAAAAUGCUCAAUUGUAGCUCUAAGGGCAGGAGUUAGGUCUACAACUACUCAAUAAAGCUCUGUAAUGUAAAAUAGCUCUCUAUUGCCAUGACUUCCACACUUUUAUCUAGCAUUUCCCAAAAUGUGAACAAUCUGCCUGUUUGGUAUACCUGUUUAUUUGAGAAAGUUGGAUACAUCAUAAAGAAACAUAAACAUGCUAAAUAAAAAAUCAAUUUUCUCAAAAGCUAUGGGCCACAAAUAAGAGAUACACUUGCUAAAAAAAAAAAAUUAUCUAUGCUCAUUUACCAUGUUCAGCAGCAUCUUGUAACACCAGACUGGCAGUCUAGCAAUUUGAUAAAUAAAAAUCUUCUUUAUGGGAAAAGGGUUUAACUUAAUAUGGUGCUGUCUUUGUUUCUGAGUUGUGAUAAAAAAUAAAGGGCCAGUGGUUUGGCAAGUCAUUUCUUAUUUGUUAUACUCUUAAGUGUUAUUUACAUAAGAAGGUUUAUUUUAAUGUGGUGCUGACUUUAUUCUGAGUUAUGAUACUAAACACCUGUAAUCAGGGAAAAAUAAUAUUAGUUUUGGACAGCCACAGGAAUGUAGAUGACGCUCCUCCAACUACAGGGAGUGUAAUUGCUAAGAGGCCUCGGCUGCUUCGUACUCUUUUGCAGUCACCCCAUGCUUCCCACGAGCUGUUCAUCCAAUGACUGAGCAUGGCAGGGAUGGAUACUGAAGUAGAAAGAUUUGUGGGAGUCAUAAGACACUUCUGGUAGCCUGUUUUGGCUUGAGGACCCCUGAACUCUUUCCCAAACUUUCCUUCCACACAACCUCUCUCAUCUUCUUUUUUCCACUUGG